GACGAACCGUACGAACGUUACUCGGAAUUACUGGGCUUAAAGGGUGCGUAGGCGGCGCGGAAAGUAGGGUGUGAAAUCCCUCGGCUCAACCGAGGAACUGCGCUCUAAACUACCGUGCUCGAGGGAGAUAGAGGUGAGCGGAACUGAGGGUGGAGCGGUGAAAUGCGUUGAUAUCCUCAGGAACACCGGUGGCGAAAGCGGCUCACUGGAUCUCUUCUGACGCUGAGGCACGAAAGCUAGGGUAGCGAACGGG
rnacentral:rRNA from 1 species